rnacentral:rRNA from 1 species
GACAGAGGGUGCAAACGUUGCUCGGAAUUACUGGGCGUAAAGCGCGUGUAGGUGGAUUGGUGUGUCAGAUGUGAAAGCCCUGGGCUCAACCCAGGAACUGCACCUGAAACUACCAGUCUUGAGUGGUGGAGAGGGAAGUGGAAUUCCUGGUGUAGAGGUGAAAUUCGUAGAUAUCAGGAGGAACACCAGUGGCGAAGGCGGCUUCCUGGACACCAACUGACGCUGAGACGCGAAGCGUGGGGAGC